AACCGUAACAGCGAGCAAGGGAGGCGAAGGUCCAGAGAGGACAAAGAGGAGAGACUCUGAUCUGCAAGUCUGAGCUCAACUCCUCGCUUGAAACAGAAAAAUACAGAGACUUUGUCCUGGACCAAUUGAGAGGAUUUUGUCUCCCUGCACUCUGAAGCAGACGGUGGAGAAGACAGGCAAGAAUUCUGGGGGGCCACCUGUAAUUUCAAAAGGAAUAACGAAAGAAACCAUUUAAAUGUGUAGAGUGUGGAAUGUGCUCCAGUCAAUGAGCACAAUUCUUUCACAUUAAUUAACUGAACCAGAUAGCGUCAAUUGAAACCUUAAUAUACACCUACAGACUCACACA